rnacentral:rRNA from 1 species
UACAGAGGGUGCGAGCGUUAAUCGGAAUUACUGGGCGUAAAGGGCGCGUAGGCGGCCAUGCGUGUCUUUCGUGAAAUCCCUCGGCUUAACUGAGGACGUGCGGAAGAAACUGCAAGGCUUGAGUCCGGGAGAGGGGGGUGGAAUUCCCAGUGUAGCGGUGAAAUGCGUAGAUAUUGGGAGGAACACCGGUGGCGAAGGCGGCCCCCUGGACCGGUACUGACGCUGAGGCGCGAAAGCGUGGGUAGCAAACGGG